rnacentral:lncRNA from 1 species
UCUCUCCUGGUGGUGAUACGCCUGAUCUGUCAUGCUGUGCAGAAACCCUUCUCCGGUGGCAGCAUUACUGCUAGUGGUGCCAUCCCUCAGGGUUGUGACGGAAACUUUCUGCCUGCUGGCACUUUGCAAGCUCUGCUCUAGACUGUGCCAGGGAGCUCCUGUGUUUGCACUUGCACUGGUUAGAUUUCCUCCCUUCUCCCUGGGUUCAGAUAGGACCAAUGGAGCUGUGAUUUAUCCUCCAGACAGUCUGUUUCCAGCAGUUUCCGUUGCCUCUUCUCUUGCCUUGUGCUCUGCGCAUUCUUAGAAUGACUAUAUGCCCUCUUGUAAUGACAGCCCUUCUACUUCCUGGCUGUGUGGUUCCUGCUUCACCCCCAGUGAGGCUGGAAAUGUCUCCUUACCACUUCUCAGGAGACGAAGCAGGAGAGAGGGAGGCAGUAAAAGCCAAUUAGGGGUUGGUUUGGGGUUUUUUUCUGGUCUAAAUGGUGGAAGGACUCCUUUUGGCUCUGUCAGCCCCCGAGCAUGGUGCUCUGCCCCAGCCAGCAGUGCCCAGGCCAAAACCUCUUCUCCACUAGCCAUGUGUCCCCUUGACUGGCUGGCAGUGCUGGUCUGGGAAGCCACAUGGAUCCCCACUGGGCAAGCAUGGCCCCUUCAGGCAUAGCUCUGGCUUUCUUCCUUGCACCAGUGCUAAGCUGCCAGCCCUGCCAAGCUCCCCUUUCCAAGGGCUCUGCAGAUCCUGCCCCAUGACAGACACCUCCCUGGCUGGCAGAGCUGCCCUGCACCCAUCCCACCUCAUUUCUAGCUGGCACAGUACAGCUGAAACAGCAACAGUCCUUUUGCAGGCUGCAGGCAUGUGGUACAGCUGCUGCAUCGCCCAGACAGGGACCCUUCCUCACCCACCAUCCUGCACUGUUGCCACCAGGCUGACACCAUGGUCUGUUAAUCCUGGGUUCCCCCUGGAUGUGCUAAUAGGAAUGGAACCAGCAGGCAGCUGCUGUUGGGGAGCAAAUGGCUGUGACUUCGGAGGGCGUGGGAAGGAGAAAGAAAGGAUUCAGGUGAAACUGUAUUUGUUCUGGCAGGGACACACACUUUCUCCCACUGCACCACGAUGAUUCUUGCUGUUGGUUGCUGAUUUUGCUUCCCAGUGGUUGACUGUGCCACGCAAGUCACGGUAAAAGUCUCCCCCAGAGAUGGAGGAGGGAAACAGCAACCUUCAAGGCAGGCAGAGCACAGCAUGUUACCACCUCAGCAUCC